AGGGUUCGAUUCUGGCUCAGAACGAACGUUAGCGGCGCGUUUUAUGCAUGCAAGUCGAGCGGUGCGUGGCUUCGGUCACGCAUAGCGGCGGACUGGUGAGUAACACGUGGAUAAUCUGCCUUGCAGUCUGGGAUAUCCCAUGGAAACAUGGAGCAAUACCGGAUGCGAAGCCUCUGGCGCUGGCCGGGGGCAGGAAAGGGGCCAAGGCCCUGCUGCAAGAUGAGUCCGCGUCCCAUUAGCUAGAUGGCGGGGUAAAGGCCCACCUUGGCGAUGAUGGGUAGCCGGCCUGAGAGGGUGAACGGCCACAUUGGGACUGAGAUACGGCCCAGACUUCUACGGGAGGCAGCAGCAAAGAAUCUUCCGCAAUGGACGAAAGUCUGACGGAGCCGACGCCGCGUGAACGAAGAAGGCCGUGAGGUUGUAAAGUUCUUUUCGGGAGGGGAACAACCGUGGCAGGGAAUGGCCGCGGGAUGACGUGAAUCCCGGAAUAAGCCCCGGCUAACUACGUGCCAGCCGCUGC
rnacentral:rRNA from 1 species